GGGGCUGGUAGAGCAUUGCUAAGCGACGGAGAGGCUUUGCUAAGCGACCGAGAGCCGCACGCUGCCGGAGGGGAGCAGGCGGAAACGCUGAGGCAGCUGCGGGAUGAACCGCAGCCUCCCAGCUUUCUCCACUCAAGACUGCCCCUUUGGGGAUGCUCCCCUGGGUCAAAGCUAGACGUGGUACCCCAAGGUGAGGACACCCCACGGAGAGUCCUGUGUGCCAGCCCAGUAGCAAGGGAGUGAAGAUCUGUGAUAAGAGAUGCGGAUCCUGAGCCCAUCCAGGUCCCAGAGAUCCAGGAUCCCAGAAACUUCCAAGGCUCUGGCCACGGAUCCCAACUCCCAUGAGCUGUUUGAGAAGUCCUGGCCAUCCAGCUCAGGGACCCCAUCCCCACCCAGCACCACUGAGGAACAGAUGGGUGCCUCCCCACCACCCACCCUGAUUGACACUGGUGACUCUGUG